rnacentral:ncRNA from 1 species
AUAAAGAGCAGAAAAUAAUGUGCUCAGCAGGAUGGUGGCCAUGGAAGCCAGAGCCCACUGAGGAGUGUGUGACAACUCACCCGCCAAAUCACCUAGCCCUCAACAUGGAGGGCACUGGA